rnacentral:rRNA from 1 species
GACAGAGGGUGCAAACGUUGCUCGGAAUUACUGGGCGUAAAGCGCGUGUAGGCGGGUUUCCAAGUCAGAUGUGAAAUCCCUGGGCUCAACCCAGGAACUGCAUUUGAAACUGGGAGUCUUGAGUAUCGGAGAGGAAAGCGGAAUUCCUGGUGUAGAGGUGAAAUUCGUAGAUAUCAGGAGGAACACCGGUGGCGAAGGCGGCUUUCUGGACGAUAACAUGACGCUGAGACGCGAAAGCGUGGGGAGCAAACAGG